rnacentral:rRNA from 1 species
AGUCGAGCGAGAUCUUCGGGUCUAGCGGCGGACGGGUGAGUAACGCGUGGGAAUAUGCCCUUCUCUACGGAAUAGCCCUGGGAAACUGGGAGUAAUACCGUAUACGCCCUUUGGGGGAAAGAUUUAUCGGAGAAGGAUUAGCCCGCGUUGGAUUAGGUAGUUGGUGGGGUAAUGGCCUACCAAGCCUACGAUCCAUAGCUGGUUUGAGAGGAUGAUCAGCCACACUGGGACUGAGACACGGCCCAGACUCCUACGGGAGGCAGCAGUGGGGAAUCUUAGACAAUGGGGGCAACCCUGAUCUAGCCAUGCCGCGUGAGUGAUGAAGGCCUUAGGGUUGUAAAGCUCUUUCAGCUGGGAAGAUAAUGACGGUACCAGCAGAAGAAGCCCCGGCUAACUCCGUGCC